rfam:Gorilla gorilla gorilla genomic chromosome, chr2A, whole genome shotgun sequence
GCUGGGCAUGGUGGCUCAUGCCUGUAAUCCCAGCACCUUGGGAGGCUGAGGCAGGAGGAUUGCUUGAGUCCAGGAGUUCGAGACCGGCCUGGGCAACAAAGUGAGACCUUGUCUCUA